ensembl:sense_intronic
GAGAUGAGAGGGGAACCAUGGUAGACCAGAGCCCCAGGGUUGGCAGGAGUUCCAUUUGAAGCAAAUCUGGCUAAGAGAUUAGAAUGUUCCCGGAGUUAGGAAACAUAAUAUUUUGUUGACAAAUUCUAGAGGAGAAAGAAUUCACCUUUUCCUUGUCAGCUGAAAUUGCUUGCCAUUCGGCCCUGAUGGCUUAGCUCUGUCCCCAGGCUGGUGCAGCAGAGCAGAUGGUCAAGGUCCGUCCUUGGAGGCUUCCCACUCACGCAAUGUUUGCAUGAGGAAACCAUUAGCUUAGCCUAACGGGAAGCCAGCCAGGGCCGGGCAGCACUGGAGAUGAUGCUAGGCGGGGACCAGCACAGGUGGGGCUUGCAACAGUUGCAGGAAUCAGGAAUAGAGCCUUUGUGCUGGGGACAGAACCCAGGGCCUCCUGAUGCCAGGCAAGGUCUGGAGCUCUGAGCUUCGGCUUCAGCCCUGUAGUGUUUGCUUAUUGCCCUCAUGAAACCAAGGCUAGCUUAUCUCUGUCCAUACUUCUCUUUUCCAUUUGAAACGCAUUUAGCAUGUCAGGAAAUUCUGAAUUUGAUUGACGGUGUAGGU